AUAUGCAGAAAAAAAG
rnacentral:sRNA from 1 species